UGAUAAUUAUAAAAACAAAAUAAAUAUUUAAAAAAAUUUAAUUAACAAUAACAAACAAAAUGUAUUUUAAAUUCUAACCUAGCACGAGACUCAAAUUAUUUUACGCUCAGGGAUUUUAGUCGGUUCUCUUAGCGAAACACACAAACUCCAAUUAUCUUUGUUUGUAAAUGAAUGUUUGAAAUUUAAAAUAUUAUCCAGAAAUAAUUAAAAUGAUUCAGUAAUUUAGAGGUUUCUAUUAUUAGAUCAAAUAUAGUUAUCGAACUGUCAAAAUACUAAAUUGGAUUCAUAACCUCGCUUUCUGUUAUGAGAUGAAUGAAUACAAACAAAAAUAGUUUCCGCAGAAUUCAAUCAGAAAAAUUUGUUAAUUGUGGAAAAUGAGUGAAAUUAUCAUUAAAUUUAAGGUAAGUGAUUUGUUUAAAUAAUCAAAUGAGAAAGAAAAAAUCGAAAAUUCUUAGCUUUAAUCCUGUUUUCAGAUGUCGAUUUAUCGGAUUGAACUCGAAACAACCAAUUCCUCUCUGGCUGGUCUUUCUUUUUUGGAUGGUUCCUUUUAUUUCUUCACCUCGUCAAUAUGGACCUUUCCUUCAGCUCGUCGAAGAUGGAUCUUCUCCUCUCGGGAAUAUUUCUUUAUUUUUUUUUUCUUCUUCAAACUCCUCCGGGAUUAAAUUUUCUUCUUCCAGGUACGUAGAUUUUGACUCGACGUUUUAUUUAUUUUUUUUUUUUUUUCUCUUCUUAGUUAAAUUCUUUUAAUUUUCUUCUCUUGAUGAUAAUUAUCUUUUCUUCUCUUUCAAUUUCUUAAUUUCUUUUUUAAUACUUCGUAGUUUUAGGUUAAAUGUCAAAAAUUUUGAUACACGAACUGACCACUUCGACUGACUUACGUAGACUCUUCUGUAGACUGACUUUUUUUCGCUCUUAUAUAGACUCGGUGUUCCCCCUCUGAAAAUUUCCUCAUUCCCAUGGCAACUGGUCCUUCGCCGAUCAAACUUUCCAAAUUUGGUCAAAAAUUUCGAUUUUAGCGCCAUCUCUUGAUUAAAUUCGGAACUAACCAAAUUUUCCAAACUUUCACAAAAAUUUCCAUAAAAUGACCAUUUUACUCACAUUUCUUUCUACUUUCUUGAUUCGCGCACUUUAUUUUACCCCAGCAAAUGGAGUUUCUUUAAUUCUCCUUCAUUUCGGACAUUUGGCAAAUUCACUCCGAACUACCCAAUUUCCCCUUCAAUCUAAGCUUUCACCAUUGAAUUUUCUUUUGAUUUAUGAUAUUUGUAUUCUAAUCUUUCUCUUUUUAGUUACUAAAAGGUUUUUCUUUUGGAAAAAUAAAUACAUUGAAAAAUUGACAUUUGAGGUUAUGUCUUUCGCUUUUGAGGUUUCUCUAGCUAAGUUAAAUUACAAAGGAAAUACGCAACUUUAAACGAAUCAACAACGGCAAAUACCCUGGUUUACGAAUAAAUUUACUAACAAUACAACGGAACUUAAAAUUACAAUAACUUAAUCUAAACAGUGAACAAAGUACAUGGCUACUCGUAGGAAUCUCUAUUAAAACGUUAAACCGUAGAAGAACCACGUUUUGGUCUCCGAUACUAAUGAUUCUACAGUUGUACUUCUGGUCUCCCUAACUUCGUAUUCUGGACUUUAUUUUUUAAUGUAUUCUAAUUAUUUAAGUUAGAUCUUAAUACUGGUAGGUAGAUAUUACUACAAUAUUU